CCGGCUUACGACCCAGAAAUUCUGGAAGAGCCCGUGCUAUUCGACGAGGUUGCAGACCUUGAGUACAACCGACUCGUAAGGGAAGGGCGCCAAACAGAUUUUGCUCCUGUCUUGAAGUUUGUGCGUGAGGAGAUCAGGAAGGAUGCCGAUGCGUGUGAGUCGGUCUUAGAAAGCACGGCUAAGUCACAGAACGGUGAUGGUACACUCCGAGACUUUGUGAAGCGAACCGGACAAAGACUACGCCGACUUGCCAACAUUAUAGGAU